UCUCAAGGAUGACUGAAAAAAAGUGGUUUCUUGAGAUGGAAUCUAUUUCUGGUGAAGAUGCUGUGAA
rnacentral:pre_miRNA from 1 species